AUUGAACGCUGGCGGCAGGCCUAACACAUGCAAGUCGGACGGUAGCACAGAGGAGCUUGCUCCUUGGGUGACGAGUGGCGGACGGGUGAGUAAUGUCUGGGGAUCUGCCCGAUAGAGGGGGAUAACCACUGGAAACGGUGGCUAGUACCGCAUAACGUCGCAAGACCAAAGAGGGGGACCUUCGGGCCUCUCACUAUCGGAUGAACCCAGAUGGGAUUAGCUAGUAGGCGGGGUAAUGGCCCACCUAGGCGACGAUCCCUAGCUGGUCUGAGAGGAUGGCCAGCCACACUGGAACUGAGACACGGUCCAGACUCCUACGGGAGGCAGCAGUGGGGAAUAUUGCACAAUGGGCGCAAGCCUGAUGCAGCCGUGCCGCGUGUAUGAAGAAGGCCUUCGGGUUGUAAAGUACUUUCAGCGGGGAGGAAGGCGGUGAGGUUAAUAACCUCGCCGAUUGACGUUACCCGCAGAAGAAGCACCGGCUAACUCCGUGCCAGCAGCCGCCGUAA
rnacentral:rRNA from 1 species